rnacentral:rRNA from 1 species
UACGUAGGGUGCGAGCGUUGUCCGGAAUUAUUGGGCGUAAAGAGCUCGUAGGCGGUGUGUCACGUCGGCCGUGAAAACCUGCAGCUUAACUGUGGGCGUGCGGUCGAUACGGGCAUCACUGGAGUUCGGCAGGGGAGACUGGAAUUCCUGGUGUAGCGGUGAAAUGCGUAGAUAUCGGGAGGAACACCAGUGGCGAAGGCGACUACCUGGCCUGUUCUUGACGCUGAGGCGUGAAAGCUAGGGGAGCAAACGGG